rnacentral:rRNA from 1 species
UAGGGAAUCUUCCGCAAUGGGCGAAAGCCUGACGGAGCAACGCCGCGUGAGUGAUGAAGGUCUUCGGAUCGUAAAACUCUGUUAUUAGGGAAGAACAAAUGUGUAAGUAACUAUGCACGUCUUGACGGUACCUAAUCAGAAAGCCACGGCUAACUACGUGCCAGCAGCCGCGGUAAUACGUAGGUGGCAAGCGUUAUCCGGAAUUAUUGGGCGUAAAGCGCGCGUAGGCGGUUUUUUAAGUCUGAUGUGAAAGCCCACGGCUCAACCGUGAAGGGUCAUUGGAAACUGGAAAACUGGAGUGCAGAAGAGGAAAGUGGAAUUCCAUGUGUAGCGGUGAAAUGCGCAGAGAUAUGGAGGAACACCAGUGGCGAGGGCGACUUUCUGGUCUGUAACUGACGCUGAUGUGCGAAAGCGUGGGGAUCAAACAGG